UUUUAACAGAUGAAUGAAAAUAAUUGGAUAAAUGUAAUUUAUUUAUUGCAUAAUGAUAGUACUAGCAGUGACAGUAGCGAUAGUGACAGCAGUAGUAGUUCUUCAGAUGAAAACUACAUCCGUUAGAAAAUAACUUAUAUGAAGAAGAUCUGCUAGAUCCUCUUCUGCAGCUAUUAAUGAAUGGCCGUAGACAUCAUGUGCAAAAUUUUCUUGAUGUGAUACACAGGAAAAGUGAUAGUCUUUUUUUUAGAGAAGAUUUCAGAUUAAAUCGCAUGAUUGUACAGAUGAUUGUACAGAUUAAUAAAAUCUUUUGAGGCCAGCAGAUUUAUGCCAACAAAUGAAUUUGGAAAAGAAAGAAAAUCUGCAAAACUAUGUUUGCUAGUAACUCUUUGAUUUUUAAAUAAAGAACCACAUCGAAUUAUCUAA